CAUUGUUCAUGCAAUUUUUGCUACUCCCUCUGAAUGAAAAAUAAAUGCGACAUUGUUCAUACAAUUUGAGAGCCAUUUACUACAGGUUGGGCUUCCUCUUCUUUAGAAGGACAUUGUUCAUACAAUUUUUGCUACUCCCUCUUGACUGAAAAAUAAAUGUGACAUUGUUCAUACAAUUUCAGAGCCAUUUACUACAGGUUGGGUUUCCUCUUCUUUAGAAGGACAGUGUUCAUACAAUUUUUGCUACUCCCUCUGAAUGAAAAAUAUAUGUGCCAUUGUUCAUACAAUUUCAGAGCCAUUUACAACAGGUUGGGCUUCCUCUUCUUUAGAAGGACAUUGUUCAUACAAUUUUUGCUACUCCCUCUGAAUGAAAAAUAAAUGUGACAUUGUUCAUACAAUUUCAGAGCUAUUUACUACAGGUUGGGCUUCCUCUUCUUUAGAAGG
rnacentral:lncRNA from 1 species